rnacentral:rRNA from 1 species
UUCGCAAUGCCCGAAAGGGUGAACGAGCAACGCCGCGUGCGGGAUGAAGGGUUUCGGCUUGUAAACCGCUUUUCUUUGGGAAGAAGGUCUGUCUCGUGCAGAUGGGCUCGACGGUACCAGAGGAAUAAGCCUCGGCUAACUCCGUGCCAGCAGCCGCGGUAAGACGGAGGAGGCAAGCGUUGUUCGGAAUUACUGGGCGUAAAGGGUGCGUAGGCGGUUCGGUAAGUCUUGCGUGAAAUCUCCGUCGCUUAACGACGAAACUGCGCUGGAUACUGCUGAGCUCGAGGAUGGGAGAGGCUAGUGGAAUUCCAGGUGUAGCGGUGGAAUGCGUAGAUAUCUGGAAGAACACCGGUAGCGAAGGCGGUGGUCUGGGCCGAAACUGACGCUGAGGCGCGAAAGCCAGGGGAGCAAACGGGAUUAGAUACCCCGGUAGUCCUAGCCGUAAACGAUGGGCACUAAGUAGAGGGGUUUU